rnacentral:lncRNA from 1 species
UGGGGGGGCGUGCUAUAUUUUUCUUUUAUGAAUCGGAGGCAUGUUACAUUCAGGUACACUUAUUUUCUUACUUUAAACCCGUGAAUAUUGGGUGUGCACUAGAAUCGGGUAAAUACGGUGAUUGCUCUUGCAAAA